GACGAACGCUGGCGGCGUGCCUAAUACAUGCAAGUCGAGCGGACUGAUUAAGAGCUUGCUCUUAUGACGUUAGCGGCGGACGGGUGAGUAACACGUGGGCAACCUGCCCUGUAGAUCGGGAUAACACCGAGAAAUCGGUGCUAAUACCGGGUAAUAUCUGAGAUCACAUGAUCUUAGGUUAAAAGAUGGCUCCGGCUAUCACUACAGGAUGGGCCCGCGGCGCAUUAGCUAGUUGGUAAGGUAAUGGCUUACCAAGGCGACGAUGCGUAGCCGACCUGAGAGGGUGAUCGGCCACACUGGGACUGAGACACGGCCCAGACUCCGACGGGAGGCAGCAGUAGGGAAUCUUCCGCAAUGGACGAAAGUCUGACGGAGCAACGCCGCGUGAGUGAUGAAGGGUUUCGGCUCGUAAAGCUCUGUUGUUAGGGAAGAAACAGUACCGAACGAACUAGGUCGGUACCUUGACGGUACCUAACCAGAAAGCCACGGCUAACUACGUG
rnacentral:rRNA from 1 species